UACGGGGGGGCAAGGCGUUGUUCGGAAUUACUGGGCGUAAAGGGCGCGUAGGCGGGUUUGCUAAGUUGGACGAUGAAAACCUCUGGGCUUAACCCAGAGCCUGCAUCCAAACUGCAGCUAGAGUUUGGAGGGGAAGCGGAAUUCCUGGUGUAGCAGUGAAAUGCGUAGAUAUCAGGAGGAACACCGGUGGGCGAAAGGCGGCCUUCCUGGACAAAAACUGACGGCUGAGGCGCGAAAGCUAGGGGAGCAAAACAGG
rnacentral:rRNA from 1 species